rnacentral:tRNA from 1 species
GUCCUACUAGCUCAAUGGAUAGAGCGUUACCCUCCGGAGGUAAAGGUUGAAGGUUCGAGUCCUUCGUAGGACG